rnacentral:lncRNA from 1 species
AGAGCCAAAGCCCCCUCCACAUCCCAAGUUCCUAACCUGACCUCCACCAUGAGAGAUUAACAUCCCAACCAGCUGCUGCUCGCAACGUACGUAGCAUCUUGCCCGCCCCUCGUCGAAGUCCGACCCGCAGCUAGCUCAGCCGGCGGCCGGCGAGCACAACGUACGUGGUGGGGUCGCACUCGCGCACCACCGGCGGAGCUAGCUAGCUAGCGUUGCCCCUGUCUCUGCCACCGCUCGUCGCCGCGGCCGGCCUGCCUGUAGAUCGUACGCCGACUUCGACGACGUACGGCCACCUCCUCCCCCAACGAAUUAGCCAUACGGAAGGACAAGGUGAGAGUACCGCUAGCUACAUGCAUCUUUAGCUUGAUUUGCUAUCCACUUAAUCGCGGAGACGUACAAGCGGAACCUUGUCUUGUAAGGUGCUGCAACAUUAAGUUUUAGAUUUGGAUGUAGGUAUUAAGAAAGUGAUGAAAUUAAAAACUGAAGAGUUGUGAUUGGUUAAAAAAAUUGUAAUUGAAGAGGUUGCUAUAUUCUAAGAUAAAUUUUAAAUGCUAGAAAUAACUAUAUUUUGAUAUUUUGGGUGGGACGGAGGGAGUAACAAUUUUUUAAAGAAACCUACAAGCUUUGGAGCCUCUUAAUGUUUUGAUGCGGAAUUUUUUUUCUGUAUAUUCCAGUUAGCUGUUGUAACCCCACAUUAAACAUUUCCUGAUUUAUUGUUGCUAGCUGUUCUAUGCAGUUUUUUAAUUAAGGGGUAAAGUCCAUCUUACUCUCCAAAUAUGGCAAAGGCAAAGAAAAAGAAGAAGAAAAAAAACCCCAAAGGUAUUGCUUUCGGAGCUUGAACGGCCUACCUAUUUGUACACUUAUUGAUUCUUAAGAAGUUUUGUUGUUUAAUAUGGUUAUCAUGUUUUCAGCUUACUUUUGAAUAAUUGGAUUGGACAGUCAUAGGAAAGAAAAAAUAAAUGAGUAAGUAAUGAUGCCAUUUUAUUAAUUACUAGUAAAUCUGCGUGCAAUGCAAUUAUAGCAUAUUUCAUAUCAUGCACUAUAAUACAUAAUGAUUUUUAUUUAAUAAUAUAUAAUGAUGUUCUUAUUUUUACAUACAACUUAAAACUAAAAAUUUUAAGACAUUAUGAUGUUUGGGCUUAUCAUGAAAAGCUUAAAAAAAAUGGACAACUUAUCAUGGCGAUGUAGGGACUAUAUGGACACUGUGUUCUUUCUAUGUUCAUACAUAGCAAAUAAAGAAUAGCUUGUUUAUCUUUCCAUCAUUAAGAUUGUUAUAGAAAUUUCCUAUUAAUUAGUCCCUUUUGUUAUCUAUAAUCACAUAUACAUAUUAGCAAUUUCAUAAAUAAGUUACUACUCACUCCAUUUCAGGUUAUAAUACGUUUUGACUUUAGUUAAAGUUUAACUACUCUAAGUUUGACUAACUAUGUAGAAAAAAGUAGUAAUAUUUUUAACCCAAAACUAAUAUGUUAUGAAAAUUUAAUCAAUUAUAGAUUUAAUAAAACUAUGCUAGUGUUAUAAAUAUUAUUUUUUAUAGAGCUAGUUAAACUUACAGUAGUUUAUCUUUAACUAAAAUCAAAACUUAUUAUAAUCUGAAACGUAAACGGUGAGAGUAUAUCUUAACGUAGUUAGGGUGUGUUCUAAACUGCAUAGUUGGCUGGCUGGUGCAUUACGCACUGUAGCAGAUAUAUAUUUGGGAAGGGAUGAAUCAUGAAUGUAACCGGUGACAUCGCCAACACCCGUGACGCUCGAGGCCGUCGUCGGUCGUCUUCUUCGGUCGCCUACGACUGCGAGGACACCGCUUUAUUGUCCACCGGGUCAUUCACUUUCCCCAACCUCGCGUAGGAGAGAGCACCCAAGAGACCGUCGGUCGUCGAUGCGAAGGAGGAAUGCGACGCGACGUGCCGUCCACAGCUCUGUCCUCUCUGUCCGUUGUCCUCAGCGGCGUGCACUUGGUUGACAUGGACGGCUCAUGAAGACCUCCUUGGCAGCCGCAUCAGGGAAAAGUAGUGAUUCCGGCUGCGGCUGAGCAGCAUUGGCACGUGAAACCCUCCCUCCCUCUGCGUCGAUCUUAGGGUGUGCUCGUUAGGGCUGGUAGUGCUAGCUGCGGAGGUAGUGCUCCAAUGCACUGUGCAGCACGCGGAUAGGACUGCAGAAGUCAAUAACGUGGGCUGGCAGCGUUCCUGACGAGAGUUAGGUCGCCGUCGCCAACUUUCCAUCUUCCUCCCGUGCAUUGUAUUAGCCAGUGGUUUUUACGGUGUGCAUCGCUUUUCCUAAAUCGGUUGUGUGCUGUGGUUUGGCCAUAUUACCUUGCUGUGCACCUCACCCCCAUUGUUGGACUUCCAAGCUUGAGCUCAUCCUUUUGCCCGAAAUAUCUUGCUCUGCCCUCCUAUUGUUCUACCUCCAAGCGUGCCCGCAUCCAUUUGCAUACCGGAUAUCUCGACGUCGCUAGGUUUCUUCUGCACACCAGCGGUCGUCGACUGCAUCGUAGCCUUGGUGCCCAGACCGGCGUGGCCUUGCAGAGCACGCGCAUGGCGUAGAAUACUCGGCCUAAUCAGGUAGGCAUCCACUUCCCACAUUUGUCUGGCGCAUCAGAGGCGGAGAAAGGAGCUCUGGUUAGGAGCAUCGCUGCAUCGAGUGGAGUGAAAGCAUCGAGGUUGCCGAUUCUGGAAUCGUCGCAGCAAGCGCAGCGAGCGGUCUGGUCCAAUCUCGUGCGGCACAGUAAAAGGGAUUUGGCUCCUGUAGCGCCCUUUCCGUCGUAGCGCAUAGCGGGAAAAUUAAAACUUAAAAACCCUAAUUGUGAAAGUCCGCUGUUUGUUUGAAGUAUGUGUGCAUGCCAGUCUCGGAUCUCAGAUCCCCGAUUUGUCAAAUUCGAAUCCCCAAUUCAAAUUCCUAUGCAAAAGUCUAGUUUGCCUCCCUCAUAUUUGCUGGGCCGAUUUUCCUCCUCGGCCUACUCUCUCUCUCUCUCAGCUCGUUUCCCCCUCAGUCUCUCUUCCCCACGUGCGCCGCACGUGAUCGCGGUCGACUCCGAGCCGAGAGAGCUCUCUCUCUCUCUCGUUCAUCUCUCUCUCCAUUUUCUCCCUCCCGGCGUCGAACUCUCGCCCUCGAAAUCGCACGCCGUUGCUUCGCGCGCGCUCCCGCGAUCGCCGUCGUCGUCAGCUGCCUGCGCCGCCUGUGCCGCGCUGCCCUGCCGCGGCUCUGUAACGCGUGCCCGAGCCGUUCCACCCGGCUCUCCCUCUCCCUCCCGCGUGCCGCUUGGGCCGCCUCUCCGUGCCGGCCGGCCAACUAAGCUCACCCGAGCCGUGCCUCUCCUCUUGUCCCGCGCCUAAACCGCCCGAGGAAAGUCUAUUCCCCCUCCCUCUUUCUUUUUCUUUUCAAAAAGGGUUUAAAUAAAUCAUUUUCCCUUUAGACCAAAAAUCAAAUAAUCUUAGAAAUUCCAUAUCUUCGCAACCGUGCAUCCGAUCGACUCUGUUCACUUCCAAAUUUUCUCAAAUCUCGAGAUCUAUCUAAUGGCACGCUUAGAGGUCAAUAAUAGGGCUUUAUUUUCGCGUUUGUUGAUUUGUCUCGUUUCGCGUAUAGCUUGGGAGCCCGAAGACCCGCGGUGCGCGGAUUUCGAGGAUCAAGCUCAAGAUCUCGAGAAAGGCAAGUCACCUUUGAUCAUCUUGCACCUAUAAUUUAAAUCUAAGUAUUUCUUUUCAGCAAAUAAUGCAUGACUAGGAGUAACACGAGUAUUUUGGCCGCGGUUGCGAGAUAGCCUGCUGGCUCCAAUCCUAAUUGCUGCAAUUACCCUCCUUGAAUUAUUGAACACUUAAACCACCCUUGUCAACUGCUAUGCUUCGAUGCAUAGGCCUUCGGGCACGCGCCUCGGAACACUCCUCUCAAAUUUAAAAAUAUCCAACAAUGGGUAAAAUUUGGGGUUUUACAAAAGACUUGAAAAACCCGACACUUGGAUCGGUGCUUGCGAACUAAAUAAUUUUCCAAAAUCGCGGACCAGGGGACUUACCGGGAGUACAGUUUCCCGCUCUUGCACUUAAGGACCGUUUCCUUUGGAAUUUCAUCCGAACAUAAGAUAAGUGCGACCACAUGGGUGAAAUGGGACGCCCCUGGCUGAGUAAUUAGCUAAUCAGGGGAACCUUGAUACCAAGAGACAAGUGGAUUCAACGGGGUGGAGUCGAGGAGAACCCCCGGGCCUCCUGGCGUAGUAUGGUCUGGGACCCCUCUCUUUGGCAUAUGGUAAACCUGUGUCGGAUUUCGAAAUGCCUUGUCAUGAAAGCCUCAAGCUCACCAGACGUGGCUAUUCUGCACGGGCUGGGUGAUCCGGGUUAGUAAUGUCGUGUGGAUAAAGUGUACCCCCUCUGCAGAGGUUAUUAAACUGUUCGAACAGCCGUACCCACGGUCAUGAGCGGACGUGAGGUGAUUCCUUAGCGUAGUUUUGUUUGACUACUGCUUUGUGAAAUUGCUGUUGUGGAAUGGGAUCGUUGUUUGAAAUAUCUGUGACUGACGGGAUCAGCUAGGCUCGGGUGGCUGUUUGAAAGUUGACGGUUGGGUGCCAACCUUGAAUCAAUUCAAAGACUGAUACAUUACACAUACUCCGAUCGGACGAGACACACUGUCUCAUCCGUGUAAUUUGAGAAGCACUUACUUAGUUGUUUAAAAAGGAGUUUAACUAAAAACAAUUGUGAAAAUGAGCAGCCUUUCCUUUGAAGCCUUCAUUAAACACUUAAUUGUUAUGACUUGCUGAGUACUCCUGUACUCACCCUUACUCUAUAUAAAUAAUCCCCCAGUUGCUGAAGAAGAUGAGAUGGAUCCAGCUGAUGAGGAGUUUGUAACACCCUGAAAAUUCGACCAACAAAAUCAAAACUCUAAAAAUGCGGAUUUUCAAAAACUUUUUAAACAAAUUGCAUCAUGCCGAUUUUAUUCACCUAUUUCAUUGGAUUUUGAUUUCGGAGUUCGUUGAUCGCGAAUAAAGAAUAAUUAAUUAGGAAUAAACCCUAAAAUUAAACUGGCAAAAUAAAUAAUUAAAAUAUAAUUUAAAAUAAAGAUUAGGUGAGGUUGGUAAUAAAUAAAAAUAUUAUCGCGACCAUAUUAGUAUCAAUUAAAUUUAAGUGCGAUGGAAUAAGAAUUAACUUUAAUUAAAUUAAGUAAAUUAUAUAAAAAUAAAAUAUGGGUAAUGUUAAUCUAGGGCGAAUCUUUUGGUUAGAGCAACACAAAUAUUGAGUAAACUUGAUUUGUGCAAAAGUUAGAAUUUAUAAGGCGAGAUUUAAAUAGAAAAUAGACUAAAUUAGGGUUAAUAACAAUCUAGCACUAUUCAUUGCCAACAAGGUGCUUGAUGUGGUCCUAGCCGGCCCCGAGCCCCGCGCCGCCGAUGCCGUCGCGUCGCCGUCGCCGCACUGUCCCAUCACCGUCUGCCGCCGCGCGCCGUCGCCAUCGCCGCUGCCGCGCCGCGCGCCGUCCCGUCGCGCCGUCGCGUCGCCACGCCGCCGUCCCGUCGCCUCGCGCCGCGCGCUUGCCGCCUCGCGCCCCGCGCCGCUGCCGCGCCGCGCCGCGUCGCCGUCGCGUCGCCUGUCGCCGUCGCGUCGCCUGUUGCCGUCGCGCCGAGCCCUGUGCCAAGCCGCGCUGAGCCCCGCGCCGCGCCGCCCACCCGUCGCGUCGCCGAUGCCGCCUGCCGCGCCGCGCGCCCGUCGCCAUAGCCGCCUCGAACCCCACGCGCCGCGCCGUCGCGUCGCCAUUAGGGCCGGCCACCUCUCCCCGCGCCUUAUAAAUCCCCUUCCCGGUCGCCAUUUCACCCCGCACCACCUUACCUCCUCUUCCCCCAUUUUCCCCUCUUUCCUCUCCACCGCGCCGCCGCCUUCGUGCCGUUGCGCCGCCGCCCUCGGUGCCGCCGCGCCGCGCCGAGAGCUGCGCCAUGCGUCGCCGCCACCGCCGUUGGUAAGCCGCCGCCCCUCCCGUUGUUCGGUCUCCGCCGCCGCCUUGGGUAGGCAGUGAGCCGAGAGAGAGAGGAAGGGAGAAGCCGGGAGGGAGAGAAAUAGAAAGAAAGAAAGUAAAGAAAAAAAAGAAUAGAAAAGAAGAAAAGGAAAAAUAAAUAGAAAAUUAGGGAGAGAUUAAGGAGGUUUGGAAAAUUAAAAUAAUUGGGGUUAGUUGUAGGUUUCUUUUAGUUGUAGAAUCGCAAAAUUUUAUAUAAUUAUAGAAUAUUUUGGUAAUCUCUAUACGUAAUCAAUUCGCGAUAGAAAUUUAGAUUUAUUUAAGAGCUAAAUAAUUAUGUUGAAUUCUUAGGAAUGUACUUCUAAAUCACAAAAAAAAAGACUUAGGAUGAAUGAACUUAAAAUUGGAAUGAAGUGGUUUUGCAAACUUUGUAGUCGAUAUAGAAAGAUCGAUUCGCGUUCGACUUUUAUUUGAGUUUAUUUGGAUUUCAUUUGAAUUCUAAUUGAAUUCAAAUCAAUUCUUCCCACGUACUUUUAGAUCCCGAGGGAGUUGCGGAUCUGAGCCAGGAUCAAGACCCGCAGGACUAGGAGCAAAGCAAGUCAUCACUAUUCUUUGAACAUGUUGAUCCCAAUUGUGAAAUUAUUUUUAUUACAAAUAAAAUUGCAUGCAAUGAUGAACAUCCUACUUGUGAUUAUGCCAUGCCUUGAUUAUUGUUUACCCCUUAUGCCUUCGUAACCAUGUUUACAUAUGAGUCCCUAGUCAAUUAUGACAAUUGCUUAGAAAUGCUAUUCUAGAAUCAUGCAUACUCAUAUUUAUCAAAUGCUAUAUGCUUGGGCAAUUACCUUUGGGAAGGUAAUUAAGAUGCGGCAAGUGGAGACAUGAGCGCCACAUUGCCAUGAUGUUGAUGACAUGAUUUGUGAAAGGAGAAAUAAAAUUAAACAAUUGUUUUCGACUGGGGCGGACGGAGGAUUUGGGUGGUGUCCGCAAAAGGCUAGUGCCGUCCCCGGUCAAUUAAGGACUGAGCCAUGAAGUUAAAUGAAACGACCCCCGUACAACCGCACUUCUCGUAUGGGUAUAGACCUAGCGGAGUAGAUAGCUGAGCGAAGGCAGUAUCCAUGCAUAGUGGUUUCUUGAUGUGUGAGGCAGGGGCUCUACGGUAGGGCAGCCAUUGGUAGGACCGCGAGGCGGUGUCUACAGUGGGUCGCCAUCGGUAGGACUGCCAUGUGAGAAUCUAAACAUAAUUAUAACUUAAUGCAUGUGUGAGUCUUCCCUUCCCGGGUGCGCUAGAACUUCUCUCACUGCUAGAAACCGUUUACGCCUAGAGUGCAUGAGAAUGUAAAGUUCAUGGAGCGGGUACUGCCAAUGCGAGGUUAUCAAAAAGCUUUGCCGUGACGCGUCUCAUGUGUUGGGACGAGGCUCAUGUGUUGGGCAGUCGCGGAGUGCGGGUAAAGUGUACAUCCACUGCAGUGUGAGUAAACCAAAUCUAUUCGAAUAGCCGUGCUCGCGGUUAUUGAGCACCGGGACGUGUAUUACACUUGGCUAGACUCUAAAUUCUUAACUUGUGUGGGAUGGGUUAUUGCAUGAUGAUUUUAUGCUGUUGGAGCCACUUCCUGAGAGGCGGGAAGGUGGACGUCCUCAGAAAACCAUGACGACUCAAUGGCGGGAAGCUAUCCUUAGGAUCACAAUGGAUGGUGGACAAAACCGUCGUUGUUUAAUGUGAACACUGGUACUAAAAUUUGAUUAGUCUAUGCUAGGUAUUAGGCUUGUGAAAACAAUUACAAAACUGGCUUUGCGCAAAAGAACCAUAGCCAUCCUUUGAAUUCCCCUAUCAUGUGCAUUGUCGCUGUGGUGGCUUGCUGAGUACGGUUGGUACUCACCCUUGUAAUAUACAAAUUUAAUCAGAGGCCGGAGAUGAAGCUUCGGAGGAUCCCUACGCUUACUACUAGGAGGGUGAUGGAGACGAUGGCGCUCAGUAGGUCUUAGUUACGGUCGUUGCAUGUGGCAAUGACGUGCCGCUGCCUUAACUCCGCUGCCUUAUCUACUUCUGCUUUUGGAAUGUAUUCCGGACCGCUCGGUCCGAUGAUCUAAGACUAUGCCUGCGGGCUUAUGAUGUAAUAAUUCGCACUAGACUCUCGUGUAUGUGUAUUUGGUAAUUCAGCUAUGAACUCGUGUGUAACAGACUACUUGAUCUAGGGAAAUGGUACUGUUUACACGAUUGAUACCUGUUAUAAAAACGGGGGUCCACAGAGCUGGUAUCAGAGCCAUACGACUGUAGGAAAAGACCAAAUGGCGCCCCACCCCUUUUUAGUUGGCCAAGGGAGAAAUUCCCAUUUAGCAAUACUUUCAAAAAUAAAAACACUAUGUUACAAAACUCUACGAUUUUCAUCUUACUCUUAACUAUUUUCGUUACAAAAUGAGUUUUACUUUUAGCUGACUUUGGCUUCUUAAAAUUAGAUGGCAGAUCAGGAUUCGCACACUACCUGGGAGAUGGGCGUACCCCGCUCAGAGGGAUACGUCAUGGAGCUACAUCGGUUGAUGAGGCGCCUAAGGUACCCCAGAUUUUCGAUCUACCGAGUGAGACAGUGUGGACCCGUUUGGGAGGCCCGGAUUGAGGUUCAUCCAUGAGUUCCUUCAGAGUCAGACUACAGCUUUCCGACACGCCACCGUCGCGACUUACCAGAGACCGCGAUGCAGGACACAGCUCGGGAGGCCUUCCUCCGACUUAGCUCUCUUCACCGAGUUUGCUCACCAUCCGUUUCGGGAGGAGAGCAACUCUGUCUGCACAGUCUAGGACACACCUUGCUGCUACAACCCGAUGGUGACUCGACUGUCCCGAUGGGCUGAGGCAGUAGACGACUUCUACGGGGAGGCUCUGUUAGAGAUCAACGACCAGCAGAGGCGUUUGGGAGAGUUAGAGACCGAGGUGACUGACCUCACAGUGCAGCAGCUUCAGCUAGAGGAGGAGCAUCAGGCUUGGGGCAGUGAGAUAGACUCACUGAAGGCACAGCUCCAGGUCCACGGCGACCAGUUCCAGCAGCUAUUAGAUCAGUACAAUGAUCACCGCGAGAUGAUGGAUACACUUCAGGAGCAGCUGAGAGAGAGUCAGGAGCACGUCAGCCAGCUUGAGGAGGAGCUUCGAGCAGCUACAAUCAGCACCACAGGAGCUUCUACUUCCUCAGCAGUAGGGCGUGAUCGCUACUUCUUCCUUACUCCGUCAUACCCACCAGCGUUCCACGCUCUUUUGGGAGAGGUUGAUAUGCUAACUACCGAGUCAGCACCUUACCUGGUGGACCCGACAGUGACACAGCCACCUGCCCUGGAGAAUGUGCACACUCCACUUAUCCCUACUCCGUCACCGUAGCUAGGUUCCAGUUUGGAGACUCCAAUCCAGGUCGACUCCGAGACAGAGGGGACCGACACUGAGCCAGAGAUAGAGUCGGACAUCACUGAUCCUUCAGAGGACGAGACUCCUGUCCACCGCAUCACCUUUAUCGGAGGCUCUCGUACCCUCAGCACUGCCCGCAAGAGCACACGACCCCCGGGCAAGAAGCCCAAGCCAGAUCCAGAGGCCACUACUUCCGAGCCGUGGGGACUCAGGUUUGCACGAGCCAGCGAUCACCCUCUUCCUGCCCCAGGAUCCUGCGGAUGGCUGGAUGACUAGACUAGAGGACUAUUGCAGCUUCGAUAUCGCCUUAGAUGGUUUUUGGAUAGCAUGCGAGACGCCCCCCCUACCUAGAUUGACGAGUAGCUUGAUGAUUAGUUCAAUGUAUCUUUUAGAUGAACUUUAUUUGGACUGCGUAUAUGUGCAGUCGAUUGCAUCAUGACUUAUGUAUUAUCUGUGGAAGUCUGUGAUGUUCUUUAUGAUAUUAUUAUCGUUGUGUUAUAAAUGAGUUUAUUCCACCAUGCUUACAAAACAAAGUACAUAUCAAAACAACUCCCUUAACGGGAUAAAACCAUAGAGGCUAGUUAGGAAAUUAGGUUACCUACCUAAUCGGCCUACAUAGAUAACAAGCCGACGUCGGGCGUCAACCAGCAAUGAAGAAACUCAAGCACCCGACCUAACCGCCCUGGCCGGAGUUAUGGCCACUCAAACACAACUUCUGCAAGCCAUUGCAAACAAUCAAGGCAACCGUGGAGGAUCGAGCUUUGGAGAGUUUAUGAGGACUAAGCCACCCACUUUCGUUACGGCAGACGAGCUUAUGGAGGCAGAAGAUUGGCUACGCAUCAUAGAGAAGAAACUGACCCUUGUCCGGGUGCGCGAAGCCGACAAAGUGAUCUUCGCCGUAAACUAACUGGAGGGACCAGCUGGCGAUUGGUGGGAUACUUACAAGGAAGCUCGGGAAGAAGAUGCUGGAGAACCCACUUGGAAAGAAUUCACUGCAGCUUUUCGCGAGAACUUCGUGCCUGCUGUGGUGAUGCGCAUGAAAAAGAACGAGUUCAGAAGGCUGCGACAAGGAAAUACAACGGUGCAAGAAUUUCUGAACCGGUUCACCCAGUUGGCCCGCUAUUCUCACUGCUAGAGUGCAUGAGAAUGUAAAGUUCAUGGAGCGGGUACUGCCAAUGCGAGGUUAUCAAAAAGCUUUGCCGUGACGCGUCUCAUGUGUUGGGACGAGGCUCAUGUGUUGGGCAGUCGCGGAGUGCGGGUAAAGUGUACAUCCACUGCAGUGUGAGUAAACCAAAUCUAUUCGAAUAGCCGUGCUCGCGGUUAUUGAGCAUCGGGACGUGUAUUACACUUGGCUAGACUCUAAAUUCAUAACUUGUGUGGGAUGGGUUAUUGCAUGAUGAUUUUAUACUGUUGGAGCCACUUCCUGAGAGGCGGGAAGGUGGACGUCCUCAGAAAACUAUGACGACAAUGGCGGGAAGCUAUCCUUGGGAUCACAAUGGAUAGCGGGCCAACUGAGUGAACCGAUUCAGAUAUUCCUGCAUCGUUGUGUUCCCUUGUCGUAGCCUUCUAAACUCGUUCUUCUUUAUACGCAUUACCGCAGCAGGCACGAAGUUCUCGCGGAAUGCUGCAGUGAACUAUUCCUAAGUGGGUUCUCUAGCAUCCUCUUCCCGAGCUUCCUUGUAAGUAUCCCACCAAUCACCAGCGGGUCCCUACAGUUGGUUUACUGCGAAUAUCACUUUGUCGGCUUCGCGUACCCGGACAAGGGUCAGUUUCUUCUCUGUGAUACGUAGCCAAUCUUCUGUCUCCAUAGGCUCGUCUGCCGUAGCGAACGUGGGUGGCUUGGUCCUCAUAAACUCUCCAAAGCUCGAUCCGCCGCGGUUGCCUUGGUUAUUUGCAAUGGCUUGCAGAAGUUGGGCUUGAGUGGCCAUAACCCCGGCCAGGGUGGUUAGGUCAGGUGUCUGAGUUUCAUCAUUGCUGGUUGACGCCCGACGUCGGCUUGCCAUCUGUGUAGGUUGAUUGAGUAAGUAUCCUAAUCUUCUAACUGGCUCUUAUGGUUUUAUCCCGUUAAGGGAAUUGUCUUGAUGUGAACUUGGUUUUGCAAGCAUGGUGGAACAAACUCAUUUACACAUAAUAGCAAUAGUAUCAUAAAUAACAUCACAGAGUUCCACAAAUAGUACAUAAAUCAUGAUGCAAUCGACUGCACACAUAUGCAGUCCAAAUAAGGUUCAUCCAAAAGAUACAUCGAACUAACCAUCAAGCUACUCGUCAAUCUAGGAAAGGGAGGGUGUAUCUCGCAUCCUAUCCAAAAACCAUCUGAAGCGAGAUCGAAGCUACAAUAAUCCUCCAGUCUAGUCAUCCAACCAUCCGCAGGAUCCUGGGGCAGGUAGAGGGUGGUCGCUGGCACGGGCAAAUCUGAGUCCCCACGGCUCGGAAGUAGUGGCCUCUGGAUCUGGCUUGGGCUUCUUGCCCGGAGGUCGUGUGCUCUUGCAAGCAGUACUGAGGGUACGAGGGCCUCCGACAAAGGUGAUGCGGUGGACAGGAGUCUCAUCCUCUGAAGGAUCGGUGAUGUCUGGCUCUAUCUCUGGCUCAGUGUCGGUUCCCUCUGUCUCGGAGUCAACCUGGAUCGGAGUCUCCAAACUAGAACCUAGCUGCGGUGAAGGUGUAGGGAUCAGUGGGGUGUGCACAAUCUCUGGGGCAGGUGGCUGUGUCACUGUCGGGUCCACUAGGUAAGGUGCUGACUCGGUAGCUAGCAUACCAGCCUCUCCCAGAAGAGCGUGGAACGCUGGUGGGUACGGCGGGGUGAAGAAGAAGUAGCGUUCACGCCCUACUGCUGUAGAAGUAGAAGCUCCUGGGGUGCUGACCGUGGCUGCUCGGAGCUGCUCCUCCAGCUGGCUGACGUGCUCCUGACUCUCUCUCAGCUGCUCCUCAAGUGUAUCCAUCAUCCCGCGGCGAUCGUUGUACUGAUCAGAUAACUGCUGGAACUGGUCGCCGUGGACCUGGAGCUGUGUCUUUAGUGAGUCUAUCUCACUGCCCCAAGCCUGGUGCUCCUCCUCUAGCUAAAGCUGCUAUACUGUGAGGUCAGUCACCUCGGUCUCUAACUCUCCCACACGCCUCUGCUGGUCGUCGAUCUCUAACAGAGCCUUCUUGUAGAAGUCGUCUACUGCCUCAGCCCAUCGUGACAGUCGAAUCACUAUCGGGUUGUUGCAGCAAGGUGUGUCCUGAAUUGUGCAGAUGGAGUUGCCCUCCUCUCGAAACGGGUGGUGAGCAAACUCAGUACUCGCCAACUCAGCUCUGUGGAUAGAGCUAAGUCGGAGAAAGGCCUCCCGGGCUGCAUCCUGCAUCGCGGUCUCUGGCAAGUCGCGAUGGUAGCGUGUCGGAAAGCUGUAGUCUGACUCUGAAGGAACUCGUGUGUGAACCUCGACCCGGGCCUCCCAAACGAAUCCACACUGUCUUACUCGGUAGAUCGGAAAUCUGGGGUACCGUAGAUGCCUCAUCAGCCGAUGCAGCUCGAUGACGUAUCCCUCCGAGCGGGGUACGCCCAUCUCCCAGGUAGCGGGUGAAUCCUGAUCUGCCAUCUAAGUUUAAGAAAAACCCAAAGUCAGCUGAGAGUAAAACUUGUUUUGUAAAGAAAAUGGUUAAGAGUAGGAUGAAGAUCGUAUAGAGUUUUGUGAACAUAGCAUUUUUAUUUUUUUGAAAGUAUUACUAAAUGGGAAUUUCUCCCUUGGCCAACUUAAAAAAAAGGGGUGGGCGCCUUUUAGUCUUUUCCUAUAGUUGUGUGGCUCUGAUACCAGCUCUGUGGACCCACGUUUUUAUAACAGGAAUCAAUCGUGUAAAUAGUACCAUUUCCCUGGAUCAAGUAGUCUGGUACACACAAGUUCAUAGCUGAAAUACCAAAUGCACAUACACGAAAGUCUAGUGCGAAUUAUUACAUCAAAAGCCCGCAGGCGUAGUCUUAGAUCAUCGGACCGAGCAGUCCGGAAUACAUUCCAAAAACAGAAGUAGAUAAGGCAGCGGAGUUAAGGCAGCGGCACGCCAUUGCCACAGGCACCGAUCGUAACUAAGACCUACUGAGCGCCAUCGUCUUCAUCACCCUCCUGGUAGUAAGUGUAGGGAUUCUCCGAAGCUUCAUCUCCGACCUCUGAUUAAGUUUGUAUAUUGCAAGGGUGAGUACAAGCCGUACUCAGCAAGCCACCACAGCAACAAUGCACAUGAUAGGGGUAUUCAAAGGAUGGCUAUGGUUCUUUUGCGCAAAGCAAGUUUUGUAAUUCUUUUCACAAGCCUAAGACUUAGCACAGACUGGUCAAAUUUUAGUACCAGUGUUUUCAUUAAACAAUGACGGUUCUGUCCACCAUCCGUUGUGAUCCCAAGGAUAGCUUCCCGCCGUUGUGUCGUGUCGUGACCGGGAAAAUUGCCUUUUCCCGAACGCUAGUGUAUUAAUCCCCGUCCCAGGAAAAGCCGGGGUACACCAUACAAACAUGAUAUAAAAGACACAUCUUUAUUACAUCGAUAAUAUUUACCUUAUUACAAAGGCGCUUCAGGCCUGACAAUCAAAAAUAAACAGCAGCGAACUAGCGGGCCUACGGCUCCAUCUUCACAGGCGCUCAACUGGGGUAUAAGCCAGGACUCCACCUAAGACUUCUUCUCCAAAGCUUCUCUUACUGAAGGGGGGAAAAGAUUGAGCAAGAAUGAGUACAACCACAGUACUCAGCAAGCCACACCGGAGAUGCAUAAUUAAUGCAAGGGGGGUACAAGGAGAUAAUAAUAUAGGGGUUAAGUUUUGCAGUAACAGCCUUUAAAAGUCACUUAGUUGCCCAAAGCCAUUUUAUAAAGACGAUCCUAGAGCUACACAGUAUUAUUAAACAAGGCCGUGAACCCUCACGAACCUGCCUUAACCCAAGGCCUACGAUGAUUCAGACCGAACUGGCAACCCGACCCUGGGUCCCAGCUCGUCCCAAGCCAACCCAGGCCAACCAUUCCAUAUUUUAGUUGUUGAGCAAAUUUUAAGAAUUAAAACACUGACUUGGGUACAUUGCUCGGCUUGCCCAUAACCGAGGGCGCGGCUAUUCGAAUAGAUUAUACUCUGAUCAGAGGUGUACAUCUUUACCCACAAGACACAUCUUCCUCACGUGUUACCACGUGCCACAUACCACCACGGUAUACAGACGGAAGACGUGACAUAGUUUUCAACCCAUCCUAGCCAUAGACAAGAGUACCGACCCAAUCCCACCUACGGCCGGGAUACCCGGGACAGGCAGGCAGAACUGAGCCCCUAGCAGCAGGGCACCAACCCUCUGCCAUAUGACAUCUCGACUACCGGGCCGCAGCUCGUGUAGCCUUCAUUUGCCCUGGAGAAUGUCCAUCGACCCCCGACUUCAUCCAUCUCCAAUCCGUGUACUUUUAUUUAUGACUAGACUGAGCCACAAACUAAGCCUUACCCAUUAGACAUGUGGAAGUACGGUAGUGCUUUGCAACAGAGGCCCGAGCUUAAUCCUUAUAGUGGCCGGGGUGCUACUUCCCACAACUGGCAUGCACCCAAACCCCACCGAAAACAGGUUUUAGGGAUUUUGAAAGGGGAAGAGAGGUGUAUGUCCAAUUCCACCAUAAACCAACAAUUCCAUAGUGUCCAAAUGAUAUGAGAAUUCCCAAAGUCUAAAGUUAUAAAACCACCUAAUGUUGCCUAAUUAAUCAGCGAAGCAUCUACCUAAAUUCAUACUAGUGGAACCACGAAUAGAGUACCCACUAGUUGGGGUUUUAUUUAUUCUAGGGUGAACAAGGUAAUAAUAACAAUAGCAAUAAUAAUGUCUUAACAAAGGUAAAUAGGCAUGGCUAAAUAAAACAGUGAUAACGCGGGAAUUUAAAUAAAGCGGUAAUGCAUUAAUUUAAAUCAAAAUAAUUUUAUAAACUGGGAUUCAAUAUGCUCAAGGAUGAUGUGACUUGCCUUGCUCAGAGAGAACGGCCUUCCGAACCUACGGCGACGACCACGAACCACGCUUCGGGAACCUCUGGAACGACGAAAGCUACGCGAAGCACACAAGCAAUGCUGCAAGCCUAUAAAGAAGCAAUAACAAUACAUAAAAAGAAAGCACAUGGUUCUUUAGGUUAUAACAAACAUUAGGAGACUUGAACGGAUCGAUUCGGAGCUCGUAUGACCAAGAUAUGAUCAUCCAAAGUUUAAUGCUGUUAUAUGGAGAUUUGCGGAUUAUUAUAAUUAAGCUUUGCAAUUAUAAAACAUGCGUAAGCGCUAGCCUGGAAAGACAGGAAGGCUGCGCCGUUGACAUGCGGACCCCACAUGUCAACAAAAAGGACCGCGGUAGACCGAGUACACAGAGACGGUCCACGGGUCGAUGGAAGCGGAUCCCGUGUGUCAACCGAGGCGAGUGGCCGACAAACGGACUCCACUAGGCACCACACGGGUUGCACACGUGGAAACCACGCGGCUACCGAGCGGGCACACUAACACGGACACUACACGGUCACCACCCGCACACGUGAACGACUACCGACACCGGUACACGGGUACCGGGGUCGACGACCGCACAACGGGUACGGGGCGACACCGAAAGGACGAGGACGGGGCAGCGAGGGAGAGGGAACCUUACCACCACGCGACGAGGCGCGGGAACGACAACGACGAACGGGCGCGGCGGAGACAGACGGGCACAACGGAGACGAACGGCGAGGGGACGGCUUCGGCGGCGAUCCUUGAACGUAGGCGAGACGCGGCCGACACGGGGCUUGACGACGCGGAGCCGAGGACGAAGACGAGGACGGGGCUGCAGCGGCUCGCUUGACGAACGCGGACGACGGACGAGAACGGCUCGACGGAGGGACGAACGCCACGACGACCGGGAACGACGAGAGGACGACGACGACCGGGACCGGCGAGGAGGCGACGAGGACAGCCGGCGGCAGCUGCACGGAGAUGGGGACGACGUGGAACACGCCGCUACGAUGCCGACGACGGAGGCGGCGCCGCGAGACGACGAGCCGGGCGACCGAUGGGACGUCGAUCGGCGAGGACGAACGGUGACAAGGAAACGACGAUGGCAGCCAGCAGCGGCUGCGCGGAGGAGGGGACAGCGUGGAACACGCCGCUGCGAUGUUGGUGAAGGUGGUGGUGCAGCGGGGUGGCGAGCCGAUGAGGAGGAAGGAGAGGCCGGCGCGGAGACGACGGCGUUCCGGCGAAAUUCGGGCGACGCCGUGGCCUGGCCGGGAGAGAGGACGGCACUGCGACGUCAACGGAGGAGACGGCGACAUCGGUCGGCGUACCGGCGACGAACAGCAGCCGGCCGGAGACGGGGAAGUGGUGGCGACGCCACUGGACGCCGGCGAGGACGCGUCUCCGGUGCUUUCCCCGCGAAACGGAGGGCUGACCGAGGGAGAGGAGGCAGCUGCGACGCCGGGAGAGGUGGCGGCGCAGCCGGAGGGUGCACGGGUGAGGCGGGAGGUGCGGCUGGAGGUGGCCGGCGCGGAGAAAAGAGGAGGGCGACGGCGGGAAGGCAGCUCCGGGGGUCACCUCGCGAAACGGAGGGCAAGCCGGGGUGGAGGAGGUGGCGGCGACGCUGGAGGAGGCGACGGCGCGGCCGGACGACGCUCCGGCGAGGCGGGAGAGGCGGCUGGAGGCCGGCCGGCACCGGAGAGAGAGAGGGAGAAGGUGGGGAGAGGCGGUGCGGCCACGGGGGAGCUCGGGAAGAGGCUAAAACGGUAGAACGCAAAGAGGGGGUUCCAUUUUAUAGGAGAGGAGUGGGAGCCGGCCACGGGGGAGGUCGGAACGGCGGCGAUAAAGGCGGCCGGCGGCCAUGGUUGGUGACCGGAGAAAAUGCGGGCGUUCCCGGCGAUUGGGGACACGAUUCAAGGGGGAAAUUGGGGGGAAUUGAAGAGGAUUCAAUGGGGAUUAAUUCCCCCCAAUCAAUUUGGAAAGAAGGGCAUUGAUUCGCGUGGAUUUAGGGGAGGAACGGCGCUAGGUUUUCGGGGAGAGAGAGAGGAGGCCGGCUGGGAGAGGAAGACGAUGACGACCUGGCGCGUGGGCCCCACGCGGUCAGGCGGCGGCUCGGGCAGGGGGGGGCUCGGCUGGGCGGGGACACGGCCCAGGUGGGAGAGGAGGGGGAGGCGGCCUGGGCCGGGCUGGGCCGGGAGAGGAGGGGGGGAAACGGCCCGGGAGAGAGAGGGAGGAGGGAGUGGGCCGGGAGGGGAAGAGGGGCCCAAGAGAAGGAGGGAGAGAAGGAGAGGGAGAGAAAGAGAGGGAGGAAAGGGAGACUUCGGCCGCGGGCCGAGGGGAGAGAGGGGGGACUUUGGGCCAGACUUGGCCCAAAGGAAAAGGAGGAUUAUUUUUAGAUUUUCUUUUUAAUAAACUUUGUUAAUUGUUUUUGUUGCUUAAUAAUUAUUUCCGGUGCUCUGAAAAUUCAAGUAAAAUUUGAGGGCUCCUUUUAGACCAAGGAGAAUUUAACAAAAAUUCUCCGGGCCACAUUUGAAUUUUUCUUGCACGUAUUUUAGUGUUUGCCAAUUUCUUUUCGAAUUUUAAUUAAUUCUAUUAUUCCUUUUAGCGAAUGAUUUUUAUUUCGGGAUGAAUUUAUCAGGACGUGACAUGUCGCCAUGGUUUUUUGAGGACGUACACCUUCCCUCCUCUCAGGAAGUGGCUCCAACAGCAUAAAAAUCAUCAUGCAAUAUCCCAUCCCACACAAGUUAAGAAUUUAGUCUAGCCAAGUGUAAUACACGUCCCGGUGCUCAAUAACCACGAGCACGGCUAUUCGAAUAGAUUUGAUUUACUCACACUGCAGUGGAUGUACACUUUACCCGCACUCCGCGACUGCCCAACACAUGAGCCUCGUCCCAACACAUGAGACGCGUCACGGCAAAGCUUUUCGAUAACCUCGCAUUGGCAGUACCCACUCCAUGAACUUUACAUCCUUAUGCACUCUAGGCGUCAUACGUUUCUAACAGUGAGAGGAGUUCUGGCGCUCCCGGGAAGGGAAAAACACACACACUCCUACGUUGCUUCUUGUUGUUGAACCCAGUCCAUCAUGAUUGUUCUCUUAUGGGUAUCCUCAUGUAGUAUUGCCAAGCCAGCCUCUGACCAUCCGAAACGGGCAUCCGCCAUCCACCUGGCCAUCCGAACCGGGCAUCCGCCAGCAGACUGCUUGCCACAUCACACACCUAAAAGAAGACCACUACGCAUGGAUACUGCCUCCGCUCAGCUAUCUACUCCACUAGGUCUAUACCCAUAUGAGAAGUGCGGUUGUACGGGGGUCGUUUCAUGCUUAACUUCAUGGCUCGGUCCUUAAUUGACCAGGGACAGCACUAGCAUUUUCCGGAUACCACCCAAAUCCUCCAGCCACCCUAGUCGAAAACAGUUCUUUAACUUUAUUUUCCUUUCACAAAUCAUGCCACCAAUAUCAUGGCAAUGUGGCGCUCAUGUCUCCACAUGCCACAUCUCAAUUACCUUCCCAAAGGUAAUUGCCCAAGCAUAUAGCAUUUGAUAAAUAUGAGUAUGCAUGAUUCUAGAAUAGCAUUUCUAAGCAAUUGUCAUAAUUGACUAGAGACUUAUACGUAAACAUGGUAAACAAUAAUUAAGGCAUGGCAUAAUCACAAGUAGGAUGUUCAUCAUUGCAUGCAAUUUUAUUUGUAAACAAAAUAAUUUCGCAAUUGGGAUCAACAUGUUCAAAGAAUAGUAAUGACUUGCCUUGCUCAAAGUCUUGCGGAUCUCGACCUUCGCUUGGAUCCGCAACUCCCUCGGGCUCUAUAAUUACGUGCGAAGGAAUAAUUUGAAUUCAAUUAGAAUCCAAAUGAAAUCCAAAUAAUUCACACAAACAUCGAACGCGAAACACCCUUUCUAAAUUGACAACAAAGUUCGCGGAAUCGCUCAAUUCGAAUUGUUGGGUCAUUUUAACCUAAGUCAUUUUGUGAUUUGAAAUUACGUCCUAAGAAUUCAUCUAAUUGUUUAGUUCUUAAUUACAUUUAAAUUACUACCGCGAAUUGAUUACUUAAAGAGAUUACCAAAAAUAAUCUAUAAGAAUUCAUCUAAUUGUUUAGUUAUUAAUUACAUCUAAAUUACUACCGCGAAUUGAUUUCUUAUAGAAAUUAGAAUAGUCUAUAAUAAUCUAUGAUUAUAGUAUUAUUUUGCAAAUACUACACUUUAGUUAAUCCUAUAAUUAAUUCCUAAUAUUUUAAAUAUCCUAAAUCUCCUCCUAAUUUCCUAUUUAUUUUCCUUUUCUUUUUCUCCCUUUCUUUUUCUUUUUCCUUCCUUUCUUUUUCUUUUCUUUUUCCUUUUUUCUCUCUUCUCUCUUUUCUCUCUCCCGGCUCCUUUCUCCCUUCCUCUCUUCUUUUCUCUUUCUCCCUCCCUCUCUCUUGGCUUUUUGCCCUCCCGGCGGCGAUGGCGGUGGACGCAAGGGGGGGAAAGGCGGCGGCUUACCGACAGCGGCGGUCGGCGGCGACGACGGUGACGGCGGCGCAAGCCCCGACGCGGCACACGGCGUGGUGCGGCGGCACCGAGGGCGGCCCGGCGGCACGAAGGCAGCGGCGCGGCGGCACAAAGACGGCGGCGUGGCGGCACGAGAACGACGGCGCGGUGGUGAGGGUAGAGGGGAGGAGGAGGGAAUGGAGUGGGGAGAAUGGGGAAGGUGGGGUUUUUAUAGGGGAGAGAGGGGGAAAAGGGAGAGAAGGAGGGGGGGUGAAGCGACGGCGGCGCGGGGCGCGAGGCGGCGAGGAGACGAGCACGCGGCGACGGGACGGGCGACGUGACGGCGGGGCUCGAGGCGACGGCGGCACGCGCGGCGCGGCAGUGGGACGGCGACGGCGACGACACAGCAGCGGCGGCGCACGGCUCGGAGCGACGGCGAGACGCGACGGCGACGGCGCGCAGCAGCGGCGCGGGGCGCGAGGCGGCAGGCUCGCGACGCGGCGACGGGACAGGCGAGCGGCGCGCGGGCGCGAGGCGCGAGGCGACGCGACGGCAGGCGCGCGGUGCGGCGGUGGCGAUGGCGACGGCGCGCGGGGCUCGGGGCGGCCAGAGCGCGCGGCAGAGGAGGGGUUAGGGCUAGGGACCGCAAUCGAACACCUAGGGUGCAAUGAACAGUAUAUUUUCCUAUUUAUCCCGAUUUUAGUUUAUUUCCCAUAUAAAUUUGAUUCUAUAAUUUCUAAAUCUUGCAUAAAUGAAGUUUACUCAAUAUGUGUAUUAUCCAAACCAAUGGAUCCACUCCAGAUUAAAGAUUAAUUGUACCCAUAUUUUAUUUUUAUAUAAUUUACUUGAUUUUAAUUAGAGUUAAUUCUCAUUCCGUCUAUUUAGAUUUAAUUGAAACAAAUAUGAUCGCGAUAAUAUUUUAUUCAUUUCUAUCCUCACCUCAACCUUUAUUUUAAAUUGUAUUCCGAUUAUUUAUUUAGCCCAAUUAAUUUUUAGGGUUUAUUCCUAAUUAGUUAUUCUUUAUUCGCGAUCAACAAACUUCGAAAUCAAAAUUCAAUGGAAUAGGCAAAUAAAGUCGGCAUGAUGCAAUUUAUUUAAAAAGUUUUCGAAGGUCCGCAUUUUUAGAGUUUUGUUUUUAUUGGUCAAAUUUUCAGGGUGUUACACACACCCAGUUGCUUCCUCUCGCCGUGGCCCACGCUUUAUCCGCACUGCACGGAAGCAUGUUGUUGGUUCCUCCACUGUGUUCCACUUUCACUACCUAGCUCCCCUCCGCCAGCUGCCCGUGCUGCUGCCGGCCCUCGAUAGGUUCCGCUGGUCUCUUCGAGUGCGCCAAUCUACGUCUCUUCGACUGAGGAGCCGACCACUGGAGCCAGCUAGGCAGGCGAGGAGUAGAGGAGGCAGUCUUUAGCAGUUGUUCGGGUGUUAGGCCCUUUUGUUCCGCUGCCAACUCUUUUGGAGUCGUGGCGAGGUAGUGCGUGUGUGUGUUUGAUGUGGGUGUUGUAUGGUAGUCUGGAUAUCCUAGGUGGUGUGCGUAUAGUCAAGCUCGACGUAGAUCUGUGACUUGUCCACACCCGUUUUAUCAGGUGUCUUUAUGAUUUGAGAAAUUCAGUUUAUGCCUGUGUGUAUGCUAUUUGAGUUGUUAUUUACUUUGCUUCUUGGCUUCUUUAAGUACUUAUCUGAUUCUUACCUUGCCCUUUUCUGGGAGUUUAGAUGGCUAGCCGCCCCCGUCGC